rnacentral:rRNA from 1 species
AUGCAUCCUAUGUGCCUUGCCAUGGGCCAUGUCUCCGAUGCAUGGCAUUGGCAUGCCCGGCUAGGACACCAGCACUUUGACGGGUUGCGGAAGAUGGCGCGAGGCAAUCUCGUUCACGGGCUACCUCACAUCGAGCACGCCGACGAGCUGUGCGAUGCGUGUCUUGCUGGGAAGCAGCGGCGCCUGCCCUUUCCAGAGAAGGCACGCUAUGGGUCGCAGAAACCCCUGGAGCUGGAUCAUGGGGACCUCUGCGGCCCAAUCACCCCGGCAAUGCCAGGAGGGCGUCGCUACAUCCUGCUGCUCGUCGACGACUAUAGCAGGUUCAUGUGGGUGCUUCUCCUCGCCUCCAAGGAUGAGGCAGAGUGUGCCAUCGUCAAGCAGCAAGCGGCAGCAGAGGUCGAGUGUGGCCACAAGUUGCGCGUGCUGCGCACGGACCGUGGCGGCGAGUUCACGUCGGCCACGUUCUACAAGCACUGCGACGAGAAAGGGGUGCAACAUCACCUAACAGCCCCU